rnacentral:rRNA from 1 species
CGCGCAGGCGGUUGGUCAAGUCCGGCGUGAAAGCUCCCGGCUUAACUGGGAGAGGUCGUUGGAAACUGAUCGGCUUGAGGCAAUGAGAGGGGUACGGAAUUCCAGGUGUAGUGGUGGAAUGCGUAGAUAUCUGGAGGAACACCAGUGGCGAAAGCGGUACCCUGGCAUUGUCCUGACGCUCAUGUGCGAAAGCGUGGGGAGCGAACG